rnacentral:pre_miRNA from 1 species
AGUGGGAUUGCUGGGUCAUAUGGUGGUUCCAUUCUUGGAUACUUUGAGGAAUAUCCAUACUGCUUUCCAGAGUGGUUGUACUAGUCUACAGUCCCACCCACAAU